CAUCAGCAGCCAGCCGGGCAUUGUCGAUCUGCAGGAGGACAUUGGCAUUGUCCACAGUGGCUGCAAGGAUCUGUAGAAUGGAAAAUCCACAGGUCAUUCAUUAAACAGAUAUCUGUAGCCA
rnacentral:miRNA from 1 species